UUUGUAUGGGAGCUCUGUCUUCACUCUAUUAAAUCUUGCAGCUGCACUCUCUUUUGGUCCACAUUUGUCAUGGUUCGAGCUGAGCUUUCUCUCGCCGCCGUCCACCACUGCUGUUUGCCGCUGUCGCAGACCUGCUGCUGACUUCCAUCCGUCCAGAUCCGGCAAGGUGUCUGCUGUGCUCCUGAUCCAGCGAGGCGCCCAUUACAGCUCCCAGUCGGGCUAAAGGCUUGCCACUGUUCCUGCACGGCUAAGUGUCCAGGUUCAUCCUAAUCAAGCUGAACACUAGUCACUGGGUUCCACGGUUCUCUUCCAUGACCCAUGGCUUCUAAUAGAGCUAUAACACUCACUGCAUGGCCCAAGAUUCCAUUCCUUGGAAUCCGUGAGGCCAAGAACCCCAGGUCAGAGAACACGAGGCUUGCCACCAUCUUGGAAGCAGCCUGCCGCCAUUUUGGAAGUGGCCCACCACCAUCUUGGGAGCUCUGGGAGCAAGGACCACCUGGUAACAAUAGGCCAAAUACUGUGCUGAUAAGCUUGAAAGCCUGCCCUGAAUCCUCAUCUAUUGAUGGAGAUGGUGUCAUCUUCCCUUGA
rnacentral:lncRNA from 1 species